GGAAUCUUGCGCAAUGGAGGAAACUCUGACGCAGCCACGCCGCGUGCCGGAAGACGGCCCUAUGGGUUGUAAACGGCUUUUAAUUGGGAAGAAGGAUAGGGUUUUGAUCUUAUUUGACGGUACCGAUUGAAUAAGAACCGGCUAACUCCGUGCCACCAGCCGCGGUAAUACGGAGGGUGCAAGCGUUGUCCGGAAUCAUUGGGUGUAAAGGGUGCGUAGGCUGGCUCUUAAGUCUGAGGUGAAAUCUUGCCGCUUAACGGUAAAAUGGCCUUGGAUACUGGGAGUCUUGAAUCUGACAGAGGUCGGUGGAAUUCGUAGUGUAGCGGUGAAAUGCAUAGAUAUUACGAAGAACACCAGUGGCGAAGGCGGCCGGCUGGGUCAGUAUUGACGCUGAGGCACGAGAGCGUGGGGAGCGA
rnacentral:rRNA from 1 species